AGGAGCCAAACCGCGCCAGGCUUUUUGUGCGUGGUGCAAAGGCUGCUGGGAUGGGCUUGGAGGGCCCACAGUUAUGGAUGCGAGCUGCGAGGAUUUUGCAGUGUCUCCUUUACCAGAUGUUGGCUGGGCACGUUAUUAAUAGUUUUCAACGUGUUUACGUUACGGCUUCCAAAAAUCUUAGUGAGUUUUCUCUGCGCCCUCCCUCUUAGCGCCGCCUUUCCAUGCCCACCGUCCGUGACUGUCCCCCUAUCUAGCUUACCUCCGAAGAAGCUCCGGAGAGGCCAGGCUGGGCAGAGUGAGAGUGCUUUUACAUUUCUCUGACGCCGGUCUGCCAUUGUCCCCAGCCUUGUCUAAUUUGACUUUACUGGUUCGUCUUGGGCACAGACCGCUCUUUGAGGCUGCACAGCGCCACGGCUGGGCUGUCCUAUGUUUUGCUGUUGAAUUGGAAACCACCUGAUUCUGUAUACACACUUGACUGACCUGUUGGACACUUCAGUUUGUCAGAUGCAGCUAUCAUCCUGAUGUGGUACAGCUUAUGGAAGCUUUGUUCAUUGACUGCCUUCCAUAUUCAUUGCAGCAUCUGAAUGUUUGACUGGGAAAAUCAUGAGGCCCCUGCCAGGUCUCUUGCACUAGCUCUAUCAUGACACUCUAAGGAGGAACUUGGUUUUCAAAGAA